GAGGGGGGCAGCAUGGGCUACAGCGAGGGGGGCGGCGGCCAAGGGGGCUCCCAGGUAUCCGGCGUUGGCUGUGGCAACGGCGAAAGCGACGAACACGGCUACAAACUGCAAAUAAUUUAUUUAACUAUGUUUUUUUUUUUAAACGGACCCUUACGGCGUUCAUUUUUGGUUGAGAUGCGUUUAUGAAAAACGUUGAAAGAAUGUGUGAUGAAUUGGGAUUUAUUUUCAGUUUAUAUACUUUUGCAAUGGCCUCAACCUCAACAAGACAUUAGUGGCCACCCUAAAUAAAACUGGUUUGGUGUGUUAAGUUACAAGUGCCCAAUAUAAUGUCAAAUAUCGAUCACCCAUUAUAUUGAUGGCACUGAUCUUGUAUUUUUCGGAUUUUUUAAAUAAAUUAAAAAACCUUCACUUUUAGCGUCUAUAUUUAUAUGAAUCACUAAUUUUAAUUUAAAAAAUAUCUUGUCUACUCAUCCAGUAAAUAAAUAUUGAAAGCAAUGGAUUAAUCGUUCAUUCUUAAAAAUGAAUAAGUGAAAAAAUGUUGUGAAAUAACGCAAAGAAUAAAUUUAUUUCUCACUGAAUGUAACUAGAAUACAGCAACGAUAUUGAAUUAAUAUACUAAUUUACAUAUUUAAAGUGUGAUAUAUCUUCACUAACAUUACCUUAAUUUCUUAUAAAGGAUAUAAAAAUUAUGAAGCAACAAAACUGUCGCAAUAAUUAACAAAUGAUCUGCAACUUUCUAUGAAUGUUUUAGCCACAAUUUUCGGCAACAGGAAAAACAUGAAUAUUAUACAAUCAAAUAAGAGGAAAGCUAACAUAACGAAGUUGUUAAUAUUUUCUCCUAAUCUUAAUAAGAUGAACCAUUAAAAGCUGCUGACAUUAUGCUAAUAUUCUAAUAAUAUUAGCAAAUUAUCUAAUGUAUCACUUUUAUGAAAAAGCAGCAACUUUAGAAACUUGAAAUUAGGUAAAAACCAACAUUUGGAAUUGCAUGCAAUUAUUACAAAAUUUAUUAACACCAAUUUUUUAAAUACAAAAAUUGUUCCAGUUAAUUAUAAUUAAGUACACACGUUGUUGAGACAAAAGUUUUAAACAAGUUUUGUUGCCCAUAAACAACCUCGCUCUUAAAUACAGAUUACCUAAUAUGUAAACAUAAUUAUCCCAUCAUUGCACCACCUCCCAUGCCUCCCAUUCCUCCCAUCAUUCCAGCGGUAAUUGGAGGCAGCAUCAUUGCACCACCCAUGCCCCCCAUGCCAGCUCCCAUCAUUCCCGCUCCACCCAUCAUUCCUCCCCUCAUCCUUGCGCCACCCAUCAUCAUUCUUCCGCCACCCAUCAUCAUUCCUCCUCUCAUUCCCGCACCGCCCAUCAUUCCAGUGGUCAUUAACGGCAUUAUCAAGGGUGACCCCAUUACGGCAACGCUAAUUGUGGCCAAAAAAAUGACAGCGAGAAUGACCUGUUAAAAAUAAGAUCAGAUGAGAUAAAAAACAAGUUUUUAAAGACCUACCAAAGUGUUCAUUGUUUAUCAAACUGGCGUUUGAAACUUGAAUGAUGCUUAUUGCACUUCAUGAUUACCUUAUAUAUUGAAAAUUUGUCCUUUGAUUAAAUUGAUUUGAUCCAGACAUUUGUGUACGGUAAUUGUUUCUGAUUUGUUAAUUAGGGAACCUUAAUUUUGAUUAAGUGUGUCAGUCGGAUAUAGCAAAUUACGAACGAAUUUUCUUUGCAAUGUAAACAAUUAUAAAUUAAAUAACACGUUUAAAUUAAAUUUCAACAUGUUUAAUUAAACCUGUUUCAGGUGUAACUGUGUUUACUUUAUUAUUAAAGACUUUUUCCAGUUUUGAUAUAAAUUUUUCGCUUCAAAGCUUGAGCUUACGGAAUUAUGAGUUUACUUUUAAAGGGUAAAACUUUUAUUAACAGAGGCUAACGUAUAACUUUUCAGCAUACAUAUUUGUUAGUUUUCUGAUUUAUUUAUUUAAGUGAUUUUGUGGUUUUAUUUAGAAAAAAUGUUUUGUUACGUUCGAGGUUGCUGAUCGAAAAAAUUAGCUGUUGAAAUCUUUAGAAAAAUUGUAACAAAUUCGUUAUAUAAGUAUCAAAAAAAUUCACAGUCAAGGUCUUUUUGACCUAUAUAAGCUUUCUUUAUUCUUUAUCCUGUCAGAGUUUGUGGAAAACACAAGCAGUCUUUAACUAAAACCAAGAUGAAAUUCAUUGUUGCCGUUUUCUUUGUUUUGUCCAUUGCUGCAGUUUAUGGUCAAAUCAUUAGUUCUGAAGUUACUUCCUUGACUGAUGGUGUAAUUGCCCAACCUGUAGAAGCUGCACCUUUGAGUGGAGGACUUAUUGCUUCUCCUUGGGCUGAAGGUGCCGUAGUUGGCACUGUUUGGUAAAAAUGUUAUUGUGAUGGAAAAUUACUUUUAAGAAAUAAAGAACUGAGCUUUCUAAA